UGAGAGAAGCUGCAGCCUGUUGAGACUCCACAAGAUUAAAGAUAGGAAAAGAGGACAUAGGCAUGAAUGCCUGCAUGGAGAACCACCCCUUGCUGCUGCUCCCACUCUACUGAUCAUGCCCAUUAUUAACUGAGGGGUGGCUGUGGGUCUUGUCUUUGCAUUACAUGGACCAAGAGCACUUCACAGGACUCAGAGAGUAACACUGAACAAUGCAGUUUACUUACAUCUUUUUCUGUUUGACACAAGACAGUUAUUGGUCGCCCUUGGGACAUCAAAAUGAUCAAGGCAGUAGAUACAGUGAGUGUCUGCUAAGUAUUUGCUGAGACUCUGGUAUGAUUCGUGUAAGUCUCAGGAUAGUUAUCUGAACGAUAUCGCCAUGGCAGUGGACUCCUGCACAUUCACAGGCCUGGAAGGAGCUUGUCCACAUUGGCAUUCCAGAAGUCCAUAAAAGACAAAUGCAUAUGCAGUCCCCGAGAAAGCAUUGUUGUAAACAAAUCUGCGCUAGAUGGAAACUCUUGUUAUGCGGUGCUGGCAUGCAUGGAAGACAACCUGAAAGGAAGUAGCGUGUAUGAUUGGGGACACAUUUCCUGGAAGCACACCCCAUUAGAUAAAGUGUCGCAUACUCUUUGAUAA